rnacentral:rRNA from 1 species
AAUCUUGCGCAAUGGGCGAAAGCCUGACGCAGCCAUGCAGCGUGAACGAUGAAGGUCUUAGGCUUGUAAAAUUCUUUCACCGUGGACGAUAAUGACGGUACCCGGACAAGAAGCCACGGCUAACUCCGUGCCAGCAGCCGCGGUAAUAAGAAGGGGGCUAGCGUUGCUCGGAAUUACUGGGCGUAAAAGGCGCGUAGGCGGACAUUUAAGUCAGGGGUGAAAUCCCAGAGCUCAACUCUGGAACUGCCUUUGAUACUGGGUGUCUUGAGUGUGAGAGAGGUAUGUGGAACUCCGAGUGUAGAGGUGAAAUUCGUAGAUAUUCGGAAGAACACCAGUGGCGAAGGCGACAUACUGGCUCAUUACUGACGCUGAGGCGCGAAAGCGUGGGGAGCAAACA